rnacentral:rRNA from 1 species
GGUAGCAUAAUCACUUGUUCUUUAAAUGAGGACUAGUAUCAACGGCAUCACGAGGAUCCUACUGUCUCCCCCCUCUAAUCAGUGAAACUGAUCUCCCCGUGAAGAAGCGGGGAUAUACAUAUAAGACGAGAAGACCCCAUGGAGCUUUAAACCUGACAGCACCCGCUCAUUCUAUACCCCAUUAUUUGCCCGACCCCUGUCUGCUCAGUUUUAGGUUGGGGUGACCACGGAGUAUAAAAUAACCUCCAUGAAGA